GACGUAGGGCGCGAGCGUUGUCCGGAUUUAUUGGGCGUAAAGAGCUCGUAGGCGGUUUGUUGCGUCGGCUGUGAAAUCCCGAGGCUCAACCUCGGGUCUGCAGUCGAUACGAGCAAACUAGAGUGUUGCAGGGGAGACUGGAAUUCCUGGUGUAGCGGUGAAAUGCGCAGAUAUCAGGAGGAACACCGGUGGCGAAGGCGGGUCUCUGGGCAACAACUGACGCUGAGGAGCGAAAGCGUGGGGAGCAAACAGG
rnacentral:rRNA from 1 species